GGACAUGAGGCAGCAGUGUGGGCAGGUGGGCAAGAAGGCCAAUGGCCCCUGGCCUGGUGUCGUGGUUUGAAGGGAAGUGAGUUUUUUUGGAAGUAGUGGUCAAACCAAUCAGUCUUUAGAUCUGAAUAUUGGCACCUUUGUUGGCCACUAAGAGGUGGACACGCCUCUGAGGACACGAGGGGUUAAAAGCCGGAUUUCCCAGCAGGACUCUCUCUUUCCCUGCUCUGCUUUCGGAGAGGGAGCGUCUUCUCCUCUCCCCUGCCGGCCUGGCUAGGCCGGGUGGGGGAGGGGAGCAAGGUGGGCCUGGCUGAGCAAGAGAGAAGGUGCCGAGCUGGAGCUGCUUGUGAGAACUGCAGUGUCUGCGAUCGCCUGUGCCUGACCUUGGUGGUGGGAGAUAAAGCUUUUAACUCUUUCUAAGGCAGAAGAGAGUUAUCCCUGGACGCUGUAUUCUCAUAGUUGGUGGUUUUAGAAGAGAGAGGACAGCCUGGGACCGAGAGGGUAAUGUGAGAUGAAGAGAAGCCCCUUCGAUUGCCGGAAUGAAGAGGAGUGGCUUAUGAGGCUGGACUUUUCUUGCAUAAUGAUAGCCAUAGACGGACCCUGGACCCUCCUGACUAUAAAUAAGACUGUGUUUGGGUGGAUGUUUUUGGCUCAAACCCAGAGACGUUCUGGCCUGCUUCUUGGAGCCCCCGGCCCCAGGGGUAAAUGGGGGGGACCUGAGUCCCAAAAUGAGAAGAUGGCUGGUUUUUGGUACUUGGCCAAAACAUCCUUAAAAAGAGCCCUGUUGCAGUGCAGGUCCAUGGACAGCAGUGAGAGUGCCGGACAUGGAAAGGAGGGUGUCACCCUGGCAGACUCUUCUAGGCAGUGCCAUGGGUGACGUGGGAACACGGGAUGGUGGACCUGUGUUUCCUGUGGGGGGGGGGGGUCUGUGGUGCGAGAGAGACUCCUCUCGUCCUGGAUGGAAUGUGGAUUGUCUGAAUUUUAAAGGAUGAUGAUUUGGAUUAGGAACCCAGGGUUGUUGAGGGAUUAAGCAAGUAGAUGAAGGUAAUGUGCUGGAGACAACUGAGUGAGCAUGUAUGGAAUGGAAAUUGGGGGGAGGAGAAGCAGUGUUUUUGGGAGGUUUUCUCUUCUGCUUUUGGGUGGUUGGGUUUUUCUUUCCUUUUCUAUUGUCCGUUGUUAUGUAGUGUAAUAAAUUGUCUGUCUGUUUCAAGUA